rnacentral:lncRNA from 1 species
UCUUGCUUUUGACCCUGGCCCUCAACUUUUUUGCUUUUAGUCCGGGCCUCUUCAAUGUUCAGGAAUAGGCCCAGGCACAUAUCGCUUCUUUCUUUAGUCCCGGGCCUCUUCAGACUUCAGGGAUAGGACCAGGCACUUUAACUUCUUUCUUUCGGCCUGGGCCUCUUCAUAUGUCAGGGAUAGGCCCAAGCCCACAUCACUUCUUCCUUUUGGCCAGGGCCAUUUCAUAGGUCAGGGUGAGGGCCAGGCCCACAUCACUUCUUUGUUUUGGUUAGAGCCACAUCAAAGUUCAGGAAUAGGCCCAGGCUCUCAUAACUUCUUGCUUUUAGCCUGGGCCUCUUCAAGGGUCAGGCAUAGGCCCAGGCCCUCUUUAUAUCUUGUACUGGUCCCAGGCCUCUUUAAAUUUCAGGGAUAGGCUCAGGCCAACAUCACUUCUUGCUUUUGACCCGGGCUUCUUCAUGGGUCAGCAAUCAGCAAGACCUACAGCACUUUUUGCUUUUGGCCUGGGCCUCUUCAUGGGUCAGGAAUAAGCCCAGGCUCUCUUCAUGUCUUGCAUUGGACCCAGGCCUCUUUAAAUUUUAGGGAUAGGCCCAAGCCAAGAUCACAUUUUGCUUUUAUCUGGGGACUCUUCUAGGGUCAAGGAUAGGCCCAGACCAACAUCACUUCUUCCUUUUGGCCUGGGCCUCUUAAUAUAUCAGGGAUAGCCCCAGGCACACAUCACGUAUUGCUUUUGGCCCAGGCCCUCAUUUUUUUGGUUUUUGUCUGGGAUUCUUCAAUGUUCAGGAGUAAUCCUAGGCACAUAUCACUUCUUUCUUUAGGACUGGGCCUUUUCAAGGGUCAGGGAUAGGCCUAGGCACAUAUCACUCUUUGCUUUAGGCCUGGGCUUCUUCAAACUUCAGGGAUAGGCCUAGGCACCUAUUACUUCUUGCUUUAGGCCUGGGCCUCUUCAAGGGUCGGGGAUAGUCCAAUGCCCACAUCACUUCUUCCAUUUGUCCCAAGGCUCUUCAAGGGUCAGGCAUAGGCCCAGGCCCUCUUCACUUCUUGUGUUGGGCACAGGCCUCGUUAAAUGUCAUGGAUAGGCCCAGGCCCGCAUCACUUCUUUCUUUAGGCCCAGUCCUCUUCAAACUCCAGGAAUAGGCCCAGGCCCCCAUCACUUCUUUCUUUUGGCCCAGACUUACAUCUAUUUUGCCUUUGGUCCGGGCCUCUUCAAAGUCCAGGGAUAGGCCCAGGCCCAUAUCACUUCUUGCUUUUGUUCCUAGCCCUUAUCUUUUUUUGCUUUUGGUCUGGGCCACUCAAUGUUCAGGAAUAAGCCUGGGUACACAUCAUUUCUUUCUUUAGGACUGGGUAUCUUCAAAGUUCAGGGAUAGGCCCAGGCACACAUCACUUCUUCCUUUUGUCCCAAGGCUCUUCUAGGG